rnacentral:tRNA from 1 species
ACUUUUAAAGGAUAACAGCCAUCCGUUGGCCUUAGGCCCCAAAAAUUUUGGUGCAACUCCAAAUAAAAGUA